CCUACGGGAGGCAGCAGUGAGGAAUAUUGGUCAAUGGCCGGAAGGCUGAACCAGCCAUGCCGCGUGAAGGUCAGUGCCCUAUGGGCGUUAAACUUCUUUUGUGCGGGAGCAAUAAUGGUCACGUGUGGCCAGACGAGAGUACCGUACGAAUAAGCAUCGGCUAACUCCGUGCCAGCAGCCGCGGGAAUACGGGGGAGGCAAGCGUUAUCCGGAUUUAUUGGGGUUAAAGGGUGCGUAGGCUGGGAGGUAAGUCAGCGGGGAAAAGCCCCGGGUCAACGGGGUGAAGUGCCAUUGAUACUGCCUUGCUUGAGUGCGGAUGCCGUGGGAGGAAUGUGUGGUGUAGCGGUGAAAUGCAUAGAUAUCACACAGAACACCGAUUGCGAAGGCAUCUCACGGAUCCGCGAUUGACGCUGAUGCACGAAAGCGUGGGUAUCAAACAGGAUUAGAUACCCUUGUAGUC
rnacentral:rRNA from 1 species